GGUCGGUUAGCUCAGUUGGUUAGAGCGUCGUACUAAUAUAGUAUCAUCAUAUACUAUACUAAGUGAUGCGAAGGUCAUGGGUUCGACCCCCAUACUGACCA
rnacentral:tRNA from 1 species